GUGGGAGCGAGCUUGCUCGCGAUGACGGUGUGUCAGUCAACAUCAAUAUCGACUGGUAAACCUCAUCGCGAGCAGGCUCGCUCCUAC
rnacentral:misc_RNA from 1 species